rnacentral:lncRNA from 1 species
UCCCUUCCAGAGGUCUUGGGAGAAACCGACCCUCGCACUGGCUUCCUUUGCUGCAUCUCUGGUAAGCUUUAGCAGCUCCAUAGCUGCCUGCCACUCACAGGGACUUCACCUUUCCCUAGGAGGUUACGGUGCAAUCUUUGGAGCCUGUGUGAGCCCUGCGAUAGCUGAGUUAGAGGUCGGCUUCUGCUGGAAACUAAGUGAGACAUUAAGAGAUGACUCCAACAGAGGCGCGGUGGAAUUCAGAGUCCCCCUGAUCUGAGUCUUGGAGGCCUCAUCCUGCUCCAUGAAGCUGUGCCCCUGAAGCCCAUAGGCCCCACAGACCCCACCUGAGAUGUCUUCUUUUGCUUGCUGGAACCUGUCUCUAACCCUUCUUGUCCUGUUCUGCAGCCCAGGGUCUGGUGAAAAGGCCUUUGAAGUCUACAUACGGUCCGAGAAGCAGAUAGUAAAAGCCACAGAGGCUUGGAGAGUCAACUGCAGCACCAGCUGUGCAGCCCCAGAGAUCGGUGGUCUGGAGACCCCUACGAAUAAGUUAAUGUUGGAAGAGGACCCUCAUGGGAAAUGGAUAGAAUUCCUAGUCUCAAACGCCACUGUCGACACGGUCUUACUUUGCCAUUUCACUUGUUCGGGAAAGCAGCAGGCAGAGAGUUUCAACAUCAGGGUGUAUG